GACGAACGCUGGCGGCGUGCCUAACACAUGCAAGUCGAACGGAAAGGCCGUGCUUUUUUGGGGUGCUCGCGGGGCGAACGGGUGAGUUACAUGUGAGUAAGCUGCCCUUGACUUUGGGAUAACUUCAGGCAACUGGGGCUAAUACCGGAUAGGAGCUCCUGCUGCAUGGUGGGGGUUGGAAAGUUUGGUCGGUGGGGGAUGGACGCGCGGCUUAUCAGCUUGUUGGUGGGGUAGUGGCUUACGAGGGCUUCGACGGGUAGCCGGCCUGAGAGGGGGACCGGCGACAUUGCGACUGAGAUAGGGACCAGUCUCGAAUGGGAGGCAGCGGUGGAGAGUCUUGCACAGUGGGGGGAAGCCUGUUGAGACAGCGCCGCGUGCGGGAAGACGGCCAUGGGGUUGUGAACCGCAGUAGCCUGAGACGAAGCGUGAGUGACGGUAAUGGGUGAAGAAGCACCGGCUAACUACGUG
rnacentral:rRNA from 1 species